GCUUGCACUGGGGAUUAGUGGCGAACGGGUGAGUAACACGUGAGUAACCUGCCCUUGACUCUGGGAUAAGCCUGGGAAACUGGGUCUAAUACCGGAUAUGACUCCUCAUCGCAUGGUGGGGGGUGGAAAGCUUUUGUGGUUUUGGAUGGACUCGCGGCCUAUCAGCUUGUUGGUGGGGUAAUGGCCUACCAAGGCGACGACGGGUAGCCGGCCUGAGAGGGUGACCGGCCACACUGGGACUGAGACACGGCCCAGACUCCUACGGGAGGCAGCAGUGGGGAAUAUUGCACAAUGGGCGNAAGCCUGAUGCAGCGACGCCGCGUGAGGGAUGACGGCCUUCGGGUUGUAAACCUCUUUCAGUAGGGAAGAAGCCGCAAGGUGACGGUACCUGCAGAAGAAGCGCCGGCUAACUACGUGCCAGCAGCCGCGGUAAUACGUAGGGCGCAAGCGUUAUCCGGAAUUAUUGGGCGUAAAGAGCUCGUAGGCGGUUUGUCGCGUCUGCUGUGAAAGACCGGGGCUCAACUCCGGUUCUGCAGUGGGUACGGGCAGACUA
rnacentral:rRNA from 1 species